AAAGUUUCCGGAUGAUCUGUGGGUAGGGGUGAAAGGCUAAACAAACCUGGAAAUAGCUGGUUCUCUCCGAAAACUAUUUAGGUAGUGCCUCAAGUAUCACCAUCGGGGGUAGAGCACUGUUAUGGCUAGGGGGUCAUUGCGACUUACCAAACCAUUGCAAACUCCGAAUACCGAUGAGUGCGAGCUUGGGAGACAGACAUC
rnacentral:rRNA from 1 species